UACGGGGGGGGCGAGCGUUGUUCGGAAUUACUGGGCGUAAAGGGUUUGUAGGUGGUCUGCUAAGUCAGACGUGAAAUCCCUCGGCUUAACCGGGGAACUGCGUCUGAUACUGGAUGGCUUGAGGUUGGGAGAGGGAUGCGGAAUUCCAGGUGUAGCGGUGAAAUGCGUAGAUAUCUGGAGGAACACCGGUGGCGAAGGCGGCAUCCUGGACCAAUUCUGACACUGAGGAGCGAAAGCCAGGGGAGCAAACGGG
rnacentral:rRNA from 1 species